GCUACAUGUACAGCACUUUGUAUACAGCGGUGGUUGUUUUAAACAUGGGGUGCCCAUUACGUCCAUCCUGAUCUACCGGUAGAUCUGAAAGGCAUUGUGGGUAGAUCAGGUCGACCAUACGCCCUGACAGUUUUUUUUUUUUAAA